rnacentral:rRNA from 1 species
GUGGAUUAGAUACCCUAGUAGUCCACGCCGUAAACGAUGAGCACUAGUUGUUGGGUCCGAACGGAUUCAGUGACGCAGUUAACGCAAUAAGUGCUCCGCCUGGGGAGUACGGUGGCAACACUAAAACUCAAAGGAAUUGACGGGGACCCGCACAAGCAGCGGAGCAUGUGGUUUAAUUCGAAGCAACGCGAAAAACCUUACCAGGGCUUGACAUCCCUCUGACAGAUCCUUAACCGGAUCCUUCUUCGGACAGAGGAGACAGGUGGUGCAUGGCUGUCGACAACU